CCUGGGGGCUGCAGUAGGGAAUCUUCCACAAUGGGCGCAAGCCUGAUGGAGCAACACCGCGUGAGUGAAGAAGGGUUUCGGCUCGUAAAGCUCUGUUGUUGGAGAAGAACGUGCGCGAGAGUAACUGUUCACGCAGUGACGGUAUCCAACCAGAAAGUCACGGCUAACUACGUGCCAGCAGCGGCGGUAAUACGGAGGUGGCAAGCGUUAUCCGGUUUUAUUGGGGGUAAAGCGAGCGCAGGCGGUCGCUUAGGGCUGAUGUGAAAGCCUUCGGCUUAACCGAAGAAGUGCAUCGGAAACCGGGCGACUUGAGUGGAGAAGAGGAAAGUGGAACUCCAUGUGUAGCGGUGGAAUGCGUAGAUAUAUGGAAGAACACCAGUGGCGAAGGCGGCUGUCUGGUCUGCAACUGACGCUGAGGCUCGAAAGCAUGGGUAGCGAACAGGAUUAGAUACCCUUGUAGUC
rnacentral:rRNA from 1 species